CCUACGGGUGGCUGCAGUGAGGAAUAUUGGUCAAUGGGCGGGAGCCUGAACCAGCCAUGCCGCGUGAAGGCGAGUGCCCUACGGGCGUUACACUUCUUUUGUGCGGGAGCAAUAAGGGCCACGCGUGGCCCGAUGAGAGUACCGCACGAAUAAGCAUCGGCUAACUCCGUGCCAGCAGCCGCGGUAAUACGGGGGAUACGAUCGUUAUCCGGAUUUUGUGGUUUGAAAGGGUCCUGAGGCGGCGCUUCAGGUCAGCGGUGAAAUACCUGGGCUCAACCCCGGGGCUGCCGUUGAACACGGAGCGAUAGAAUUCCGAUGCCGUCGGAGGAAUGUGUGGUGUAGCGGUGAAAUGCAUAGAUAUCACACAGAAAACCGAUUGCGAAGGCAUCUGACGAAUCGGAGAUUGACGCUGAUGCACGAAAGCGUGGGUAUCGAACAGGAUUAGAUACCCCAGUAGUC
rnacentral:rRNA from 1 species